GAUGAACGCUGGCGGCGUGCCUAAUACAUGCAAGUCGAGCGGUAAGGCUCCUUCGGGAGUACACGAGCGGCGGACGGGUGAGUAAUACGUAGGAACGUACCCCAAAGUGAGGAAUAACCAGCCGAAAGGUUGGCUAAUACCGCAUAUGCUCUACGGAGUAAAGCAGCAAUGCGCUUUGGGAACGGCCUGCGUCCGAUUAGCUAGUUGGUAAGGUAAAGGCUUACCAAGGCGACGAUCGGUAGCUGUUCUGAGAGGAUGAUCAGCCACACUGGAACUGAGACACGGUCCAGACUCCUACGGGAGGCAGCAGUAGGGAAUUUUCCACAAUGGGCGAAAGCCUGAUGGAGCAACGCCGCGUGCAGGAUGAAGGCCUUAGGGCUGUAAACUGCUUUUAUCUGUGACGAUUAUGACAGUAGCAGAUGAAUAAGGAUCGGCUAACUCCGUGCCAGCCGCCGCUGUAA
rnacentral:rRNA from 1 species